rnacentral:rRNA from 1 species
UGGGGGAUAUUGCACAAUGGGCGAAAGCCUGAUGCAGCGACGCCGCGUGGGGGAUGAAGGCCUUCGGGUUGUAAACUUCUUUUGCUCUGAGCAAGGCAUGCUUUUGGGGUGUGUUGAGUGUAGGGGUUGAUUAGCGCCGGCUAACUACGUGCCAGCAGCCGCGGUAAUACGUAGGGCGCGAGCGUUGUCCGGAAUUAUUGGGCGUAAAGGGCUUGUAGGUGGCUGGUUGCGUCUGUCGUGAAAGCUCAUGGCUUAACUGUGGGUUUGCGGUGGGUACGGGCUGGCUUGAGUGCAGUAGGGGAGGCUGGAAUUCCUGGUGUAGCGGUGGAAUGCGCAGAUAUCAGGAGGAAUACCGGUGGCGAAGGCGGGUCUCUGGGCUGUUACUGACGCUGAGGAGCGAAAGCGUGGGGAGCGAACAGG